rnacentral:rRNA from 1 species
UACGUAGGGUGCGAGCGUUAAUCGGAAUUACUGGGCGUAAAGCGUCCGCAGGUGGCACUUCAAGUCUGUCGUCAAAGACUGGGGCUUAACCCUGGAAAGGCGGUGGAAACUGAAGCGCUAGAGUGCGGUAGGGGAGAUUGGAAUUCCUGGUGUAGCGGUGGAAUGCGCAGAUAUCAGGAGGAACACCGAUGGCGAAGGCAGAUCUCUGGGCCGUAACUGACGCUGAGGAGCGAAAGCAUGGGGAGCGAACAGG